UACGUAGGUGGCAAGCGUUGUUCGGAAUUAUUGGGCGUAAAGCGCGCGCAGGCGGCCUUUUAAGUCUGAUGUGAAAGCCCACGGCUCAACCGUGGAAGGUCAUUGGAACUGAAAGGCUUGAGAUACAGAAGAGGAAAGCGGAAUUCCACGUGUAGCGGUGAAAUGCGUAGAGAUGUGGAGGAACACCAGUGGCGAAGGCGGCUUUCUGGUCGUG
rnacentral:rRNA from 1 species